GCUGGCGUAGCUCAGCUGGUUAGAGCGUGGGACUCAUAAGCCCAAGGUCAGUGGUUCGACUCCACUCGCCAGCA
rnacentral:tRNA from 1 species